rnacentral:rRNA from 1 species
CACGUAGGGUGCAAGCGUUGUCCGGAAUCAUUGGGCGUAAAGAGCUCGUAGGCGGCUUAGUAAGUCGGGUGUGAAAACCCCAGGCUCAACCUGGGGACGCCACCCGAUACUGCUAUAGCUAGAGUCCAGUAGGGGAGUGUGGAAUUCCCAGUGUAGCGGUGAAAUGCGCAGAUAUUGGGAGGAACACCGGUGGCGAAGGCGGCAUCCUGGACCAUUACUGACACUGAAUAGCGAAAGCCAGGGGAGCAAACGGG